CCUGCGGAGGAGGCUAGUUUCCCCAUAUACAGAGGUGACUAAUUCCAUAGCCCCAGCGAAUCAAUGCUCUGUGGAACGUUUUGUUACUAAAAUUUGGCGAAAAUCAACCACAUUUGACCAAAAGCACAAUAUUUUACCAAACUCUGAAUAAAAUGCGCAAUGAGUCGCAUUGCAUUGCGGGAAGGUCCCCAACAUGCUCGGAAUGUGGUGAUGCUUUGCGUGUGCUUUGUGGUGCUCUGAAUUGUUGUUAGUGCCUUGGGCUGUUGGGCAAUUGUAGUCAUUUCAAUCUAUUGCAAUCCGACGUUUUGGGAACGGUUUUAACAUAUUUUUUUACAAUAUCUAUGCACAAGAAUCUGGACAAAGUACGAAAUAAACGAGUGGUAACGAAAACGCGAAGAGAAAGUUUGCCGAACGGUCCAACGACGAAAACAGUCGCCACCAAUAACCACAAUGUUCAGACAUUUGACGCUUUGCUGACAAAGUUUAUAUGGUAAGAAGUUCUUUAGUGCUUUGAUUUGUA